rnacentral:rRNA from 2 species
AAUCCAUAGGUUAAUGAGGCGAACCGGGGGAACUGAAACAUCUAAGUACCCCGAGGAAAAGAAAUCAACCGAGAUUCCCCCAGUAGCGGCGAGCGAACGGGGAGGAGCCCAGAGCCUGAAUCAGCAUGUGUGUUAGUGGAAGCGUCUGGAAAGGCGCGCGAUACAGGGUGACAGCCCCGUACACAAAAGCGCAUGUGCUGUGAGCUCGAUGAGUAGGGCGGGACACGUGGUAUCCUGUCUGAAUAUGGGGGGACCAUCCUCCAAGGCUAAAUACUCCUGACUGACCGAUAGUGAACCAGUACCGUGAGGGAAAGGCGAAAAGAACCCCGGCGAGGGGAGUGAAAAAGAACCUGAAACCGUGUACGUACAAGCAGUGGGAGCCCCACCACCAAAGCAUUUGCUGUACCGCGUUGACGGAGCGAAGCGACGUCAAACCGAUAAAACAGCAGUGUAAAGUGAGCCGCAGGGCGCUUUGCGCGACAGCGCAAAGGCAGGCGGUUUCGCGUAGCGAAAGCGAAUGCUUUG